rnacentral:tRNA from 1 species
GGAUGUAUAAUCAGAUGGAUAACGCGUCGGACUACGGAUCAGAAGAUUCUAGGUUCGACUCCUGGCUGGCUCG